AUUGAACGCUGGCGGCAUGCCUAACACAUGCAAGUCGAGCGGAUGAAGGGAGCUUUCUCCUGGAUUCAGCGGCGGACGGGUGAGUAAUUCCUAGGAAUCUGCCUUGUAGUUGGGGAUAACGUCCGUAAACGGGCGCUAAUACCGCAUCCGUCCUGAUGGAGAAAGUGGGGGAUCUUCGGACCUCACGCUAUCUGAUGAGCCUAGGUCGGAUUAGCUAGUUGGUGGGGUAAAGGCGUACCAAGGCGACGAUCCGUAACUGGUCUGAGAGGAUGAUCAGUCACACUGGAACUGAGACACGGUCCAGACUCCUACGGGAGGCAGCAGUGGGGAAUAUUGGACAAUGGGCGAAAGCCUGAUCGAGCAAUGCCGCGUGUGUGAAGAAGGUCUUCGGAUUGUAAGGCACUUUAAGUUGGGAGGAAGGGCAGUAAGUUUAUACCUGGCUGUUUUGACGGUACCAAAAGAAUAAGCACCGGCUAACUUCGUG
rnacentral:rRNA from 1 species